rnacentral:rRNA from 1 species
UACGUAGGGAGCAAGCGUUGUCCGGAAUCAUUGGGCGUAAAGCGCGCGUAGGUGGCUUCGUAAGUCCGUUGUGAAAGUCAAAGGCUCAACCUUUGAAAGCCGAUGGAUACUGCGGAGCUAGAGUACGGAAGAGGCGAGUGGAAUUCCCGGUGUAGCGGUGAAAUGCGCAGAUAUCGGGAGGAACACCUAUGGCGAAGGCAGCUCGCUGGGACGGUACUGACGCUGAAACACGAAAGCGUGGGUAGCAAACAGG